UUUUUUUUUUAUUCAAAGGAGACCGUUUUAGUUUGAAGAGGAGCGAAUUGAAGGCAGAAACUCCUCCCUGCUGUGCCUGAUCAGCUAUUGAUUAGGGGAGGGUUGCUGACCUAAACCAUCGCCAGAUAAUGGGCUGCAGCCUCACGGAGCACAUUAGUUGCAGGAGACCCAAAGCCGCCCUUUUGUGGAGAACCAAAGGCUCUGGUCUUUCUGGAGGAAAAGAAAUGUUAAUUGAAAAAUUCCUCAAAUAGGUGAAGGCUCUGAAGCUGCUUUACAGAAAGGUGUGAAGCCACAAUCAGGGGGCAGGAAGAAAGGGCCUGCUCCGGGCGGUGUGCUCUCUGAUGCUGCUGGCUAAUCUCCCAUUCACAGGGCCCUUUCAGCGAGGCCUGCGACAGCUGGACCUGCGGCCGGGUCCGGAUUAAUUGGUCCCUCAACAGGGAAAGUAAAACAAAGAAACUUCCUACUGGAUGCCAAGGGCUGAAUCUGACUAUUUACAUAGGUAAUCACUGCACGGCCAUCGCUUCUGUCGGUUAAGGGCCUUGGACAAACAGACACGUUGCCACUGCCGCAGCUUCUCGGGGACCCUCACGUGGAAAAGCAACCCCGAGCCCACCAGGCAUCUGCACACGACCCCUGCCCCCAAGGAGGGGCGUGUCUGUGUGGACAGGAGACCAAGAGCGCCGAGGAGCCCGGGACCAGCUGGAGGGAGGCUCCCAGCCGGAAUCCAGGCUCCGCUCCUGCCGUCCACGCAGGCCAGGGCUCAGCGCUCACCCCCGCCCCUCCUCUGACCCUCGCCCUGUCCACACCACCGGCCAGACUUGCUGGAAGAACCGCCUCACCACAAAACCGAAGCGCCGGCGCGCCCCAGGCAGGGCCUUGGCGCUGGCGGUGGAGACCUUUCCCAGCUCCCAGCACCCCAGGGAGACAGAGGCAGGCUCUGCGGGCGUCAGAAGCAGGAGCGGGGGCGACUCCCCGAGGACGACGGGGCUGCGGGAGGACAGCUGGAACAGCUCCCACCUGCUGUUGGGAGCCCUGGGCCCCCAGUGUGCGCCGGAGCCGCUCCGCACCCUGCCCAGCAAGCAGCCGGACAGACCAAGCCUGGCUGUCGAAUGUCGUCCAGAGCGCGCUUACUGAGCAUCGUGAGGCCAGAGCCUCAAAGGCCCGCCCGGAAAUCUACCCCCGCCCCUCACCAAGUGGAGACCGGCUCUUAACACGGAGCGUCAGUCCUGCCAAAAUUAAAUGAAGUGUACAGUACAUGUUCGGGAGUUUAAG
rnacentral:lncRNA from 1 species